rnacentral:snRNA from 1 species
AGCUUUGCGCGGUGGCAGUAUCAUGGCCCAUGAGUUUUAUCCGAGGCAAGAUUCUUGCUAAUUGAAAACUUAUAAUGUAACAAGGAAGCAAGCCAUAUUUAAGUGUAAGUUUUCUUG